rnacentral:rRNA from 1 species
UACGUAGGGUGCAAGCGUUGUCCGGAAUUAUUGGGCGUAAAGAGCUCGUAGGCGGUUUGUCGCGUCUGCUGUGAAAACUCGGGGCUUAACCCCGGGCCUGCAGUGGGUACGGGCAGACUAGAGUGCGGUAGGGGAGACUGGAAUUCCUGGUGUAGCGGUGGAAUGCGCAGAUAUCAGGAGGAACACCGGUGGCGAAGGCGGGUCUCUGGGCAGUAACUGACGCUGAGGAGCGAAAGCAUGGGGAGCGAACAGG